rnacentral:rRNA from 1 species
UACAGGGGGGGCAAGCGUUGUUCGGAAUUACUGGGCGUAAAGGGUCUGUAGGUGGCCAACUAAGUCAGACGUGAAAUCCCUCAGCUUAACUGGGGAACUGCGUCUGAUACUGGAUGGCUCGAGUGUGGGAGAGGAAUGCGGAAUUCCAGGUGUAGCGGUGAAAUGCGCAGAUAUCAGGAAGAACACCCGUGGCGAAAGCGGCUCUCUGGAACGGUACUGACGCUGAGACGCGAAAGCGUGGGGAGCGAACAGG